rnacentral:rRNA from 1 species
GCCCACAUGAAGUCGGAGUUGCUAGUAAUCGCGGAUCAGCAUGCCGCGGUGAAUACGUUCCCGGGCCUUGUACACACCGCCCGUCACACCAUGGGAGUUGGGAGUGCCCAAAGCCGGUGAGGCAACCGAAAGGAGCCAGCCGUCUAAGGCAAGACCAAUGACUGGGGUGAAGUCGUAACAAGGUAAC